AGCGAACGCUGGCGGCAUGCCUAACACAUGCAAGUCGAACGAGACCUUCGGGUCUAGUGGCGCCCGGGUGCGUAACGCGUGGGAACCUGCCCUUAGGUUCGGAAUAACUCCCCGAAAGGGGUGCUAAUACCGGAUAAUGUCUUCGGCCCAAUGAUUUAUCGCCUUUGGAUGGGCCCGCGUUGGAUUAGCUAGUUGGUAGGGUAAAAGCCUACCAAGGCGACGAUCCAUAGCUGGUCUGAGAGGAUGGUCAGCCACACUGGGACUGAGACACGGCCCAGACUCCUACGGGAGGGAGCAGUGGGGAAUAGUGGACAAUGGGCGAAAGCAUGAUCCAGCAAUGACGGGUGAGUGAUGAAGGCAGUAGGGUUGUAAAGCUCUUUUAACCGGGAUGAUAAUGACAGUACCGGGAGAAUAAGCUCCGGCUAACUACGUG
rnacentral:rRNA from 1 species